GGGCUGCGUGGACCCCCUGGCACUGGCCCGGGAUCCUGCAAUCUCAUGGGCCUGGGCUGCCAUCUCCUUCCUCGCCUGUAAAAUGGGCCCAAUAAGCCCGUCAACCCAUUUUUACAGAUUCUGUGGUUUCCUGAAAAUGGCCUCCCUGGGGAGUGGGAAUAGGGGCAAGGGUCCGUGGCAGUUAACAAAGAGAAGACUUCUAUGAAGUCAGCAGCUACAAAUUUCUACCUGGGAAAGAUGGCAAACGCUUCCCAGAAGAGAUGGCCUGUAAACAGCGUCUCCAAGGAAGGAAAGGAAUUCACAAGGUCGCCUCAGGAGAAAAGGCAACCCAGGCAGAGGGAAUGCUUGGCCAAAGUCAUGGCAGCUGACACAUUUGGGGAACUGGAAGCCGUUCAGGGUGGCCCUCAUGGGUUCUUCUGUGUUUGGGGUCCAGAGCUCAACAGGAGGCCCAGAGAUGAUGAAAAAGCAGGCCCGACAGCAGGUCGUGAUCUGGCAGUUCGAGGGAUCCAGCCCCGCCUCGGUCUCCACGAUGACGGUGCGGAGCCUGCUUGCAAUUCUCUCUCUCUCCCUCUCUCUCUGCCCGCCCCCCCCCACAUUCUCUCCGUCUUUCUCUUUCAAAAAUAAAUAAAUGAACUUAAAAAAAAGAGAGUGGUUCUUGUAUGUCUAAGAGGUUGUCAAACAAACAAAGAAAUGACUAUGCGACAGAAACUGUGUGUGGUCCACAACACCUAAAAUAUUUAUGAUUUGGCCCUUCACAGAAACAAGUGCGCCAACCUGGCAAUAGACCAGUAUCCCUUAAAAUUCGGUCUACUCUUACCAGAUGUUAAAUCCUGGUCUCAGCUGCUCUGUGGGAAAUUAAGGGAUGUAGGAUGUCAAAGGAAGGUCGAUGGCUUCUCCAAGAGUCGGAGAGGUGGGGGCAGUGGAGACCACCGUGAGAGAAGGUGUGUGCCCUGGGCAUGAGGACAUGGUCAUAUCAUAAAAGGUAGGUAUGGUCAGAGGUCAGAGGGGAAAAAAACCCUACUGGAGAUUCUCUUU